rnacentral:rRNA from 1 species
AACGAACGCUGGCGGCAUGCCUAACACAUGCAAGUCGAACGAGACCUUCGGGUUUAGUGGCGCACGGGUGCGUAACGCGUGGGAAUCUGCCCUUCGGUUGGGAAUAACUGAGAGAAAUUUCAGCUAAUACCUUAUAAUGUCUUCGGACCAAUGAUUUAUCGCCGAGGGAUGAGCCCGCGUAGGAUUAGGUAGUUGGUGGGGUAAUGGCCUACCAAGCCGACGAUCCGUAGCUGGUCUGAGAGGAUGAUCAGCCACACUGGGACUGAGACACGGCCCAGACUCCUACGGGAGGCAGCAGUGGGGAAUAUUGGACAAUGGGCGAAAGCCUGAUCCAGCAAUGCCGCGUGAGUGAUGAAGGCCUUAGGGUUGUAAAGCUCUUUUACCCGGGAUGAUAAUGACAGUACCGGGAGAAUAAGCUCCGGCUAACUCCGUGCCAGCAGCCGCCGUAA